rnacentral:lncRNA from 1 species
GUAGACAUGUUUGAUGCAGGUAAUUGGAGUAACCCCGUCAAUGAAUUUUCUACUGACCUUCUGCCGGUCAAGAGAGGCGAUCCAGGACGCCCCGUCAUCCCGAUCUCCAUCGGCAUGGUGGAUGACCCAGAAGCACUCUGUGACUUUGGCUCCAGUGUCAACAUUAUACCCAGGGUACUCUAUGAAAAAUUCUUUACAUAUCCUUUAUUAGAAACAACCAUGUGUUUGCAGUUUGCAGAUCAGACGAUAACUUUUCCAAAAGGAAUAGUGAGGAACCUUUGUGUUCGAGUUGGUACCUUAUAUGCCCCAGCAGACUUCGUAGUAGUAGAGACCGGAAAUGAGGAGAGAGCACCUAUCAUUCUAGGGAGGCCAUUCUUGAACACCACGGGAGCUAUCAUCUACGCCAGUGCUGCUAAGAUCAGUUUCUAUGUCAAAGGGAAGAAGGAGACAUUUUUCUUCAAGAACAAGACUACACAAAUUCCAAAUCAAUCCAGACGUGAAUCAAGGAAGAGGACCAACAGGAGGAACAGGAACAAGCAAGUGUGGACCGAGUCAGAUAAGAUGGUCACUGUAGUCCAUGGAGGCCAAGAUCACCAACUGAAGUCACCGUUUUUGACCAAAAAGGACGACCCAGGAAUGCCAAGCAUUUACUGCUCCAUAAAUGGAUACAACUUCUACAAGACGAUUUGCGACACCGGAUCAGGCGUCAACAUAAUGGCCGCAGUCACCUAUCGGCUCUUGUUCGGAACCAUGCCACUAAGACCAACAUACAUUCAACUCCAGAUGGCAGAUCAGACAUUUCGAGAAGUUAAAGGAAUAGUAUCUGAUGUCCCAGUCAAAAUAGACGAUCACUUUGUCUACACAGACUUUCAAGUUGUUGACAUGGGAGAAGAUGAAUAUGAUCCACCCAUCAUCCUUGGAAGACCGUUCCUCGGCACCGUUAAAGCAAUUAUCUAUAUUGGAACCGGAGAAGUCCAUAUGCACUUCCCCUCAGAGAAGGUACGCCGUUAUUUUACUGACCCUAACUAUAUCGUUGAAGAAUCUAAGCAGGUCAGAAAAAGACGCAACCGCAACCAGAGGAGGCAGAUCAUCAAGGACGGAUGGGCAGACUAUGAAGGAGAAGUUGUAAGGUCAGAAAACGUAGAGUUUAAACAGAAUUAUCCAGAGGAGAUUGAAGCACCGAGUCAGGUGUGGAAAAUGAAGAUAACUAUACAAGAAGAGGAGGCGCUGCCGAAAGUACCGACUACGCCACCCAACGAACCUCAGGACGAUUGAGGAAAUGGAGAGUCCCGUUCGGAGGACUUAAAAACACCGAACGCCUUGCCAAGAGGUAAACUUGGUAGUUAUCCUUUCCCUUUCAAUUAUUUUAAAAUAGUUUAUUUAGUUAAACAUGUUCAUGCUAUCCUAAAAAGAAAAUAAAAAUAUGAAAAACAGUAAGCCCCAUGUGAGUAUACGAGUGGCAUAAAACCCAUACAUACAUUCACUGUGGUGGCAUAAAAAUAAAAUAAAUAUUUUUCUGCUUUAUAAAAAUAAAAAUAAAAAUAUAAAAACAGGGAGUAAUAUUUACUAAGGAGUCUCAAGAUGAUAAAAGCUAGAUAUUUAUGCUAACACUUAAUCAGUUCCACAAGCUUUGUUGUCUAUUUGAGCUCCACAGAAUUUAAGAAUCAAGAAGACUAGCAGACGGAGGACAUUCUAAUCGCUGUCAGAAUGCUGCUGACUUUCAAAUACACCUCUGCCACAUGUUAGCUACAUCAAGAGAAAUUACGUCAAAAUUCAGCUUGGGGGAGAGCACCCCCAUUUAUCACGAUAAGUAUUUCUAUCUAUCUUUAUACUUAUAUUAUUUUAGAAUAUUAAUACACAUAAACUAUGGGAAAACCAAAUAAAGAUUUUAUGCUUAUAUAUAUAUUACUUAGUGUGUUUAAUAAAUAAAUAAAGUGGCUAUGCUAAUCUGUAUCUAAUAAAACUUAAGCAUGGAUAUGAUGAAUAGUUGCUCUGCCUAAUUUGCACAUUUUAAGUUCUCUCUCAAGUUUAGACAUAACUGUUAUAAUUUAAAGCUUGCUCUAGACCUAAACUUGUGGGAUGAAAACUUGAUCUGAAGUCUAAGUUGUUAACGGAUACGAUAUGGGAAGGUUGAGCUGCUGUUUAUCUGUUCCUAGAGAUGCUAGAAUUCUGGAGAAUUUUAUCUUUGAAAAUCUUUAAAAUGUUGCAUGAUGAGUUCCUGUAUGAUGAGAGCUUAAAAUUCCUACCACAGCCAUAUAUACAUGCUUGCUAGACUUUGAGCCACACAUUUACUAUUUACUGCUUAUGAGCAUUGACUAUGGUCAAGCUGUGUAGACCCUUAGGAGCUUGUCAUGUGGUUAAAUCAAGAUUUCACUUGCACGUUCACUCAUAUAUGCUACUUCUAUUUUGGAAAUACCAUCCACAUAUAUCCAUCCAUUCCAUCUCCAGAACCACCUGAAAAUAUUCUACUCCUAAUCCGGGAGAGAAUAACAAAAAAUAUUUCUGUUUUCCCCUUGUGAAAUAAAUGCUCAAGUUAUCUUGUUACUACCACUUGCUAUAUUAUCUCAAGAGAUGAGUGUUCUAAAAAAAAAGAAGAAGAAAAUAAUACGAGGAAAUAAAAAGGAGCAAGUGCUCGGAGCCUCGAAAGAAAAGAAAAAGUGAGACGAGAGGUAAAAAUGGACAAGUGUCCGACAGUAGAAUUAGAGGCACAAGAUACCCACCUGAGAGAAAAGAAAAAGAAGAGCACCUCAUUCUCCUCAUAAAGUUUCAAAAGCAAGGAAGGUAUGUAUCCCCUCAAAAGAGCAAAGUAGAAUUAGACUUUCACCACCAUUGUUUUCACCAUUGUUUUCACCAUUGUUAUCACCAUCAUCACCAUAUACCAUUCAUUCGCCACACAUGCACAUCUUGAUUAAACUUAUUGACUUGUUACUUUGGAUCCAUGGUUUGACUAUGCAAUACAUGUCUUGUAAGUAUGUAUACUUUAUCUCCCACCUAUGAGCUCCAGAUAUUAAAGCCUUAUUAGAGUAGGAUGAGAGAGAAGGCAAUGUCACUAUGCCUUAUACCCCAAAUACCACAUAUCUUGAGAGAAGGCAUAUACCAUCAAUGCCUUGGUAAGGAUCCAAAAAUACCACAAAAGAGAGACCUGAGAGAAUCAUAUAAGGAAUCUCUGAGUUUUAUUUGAAAAUCUGCAAAAAUCCCAGAGCUAUAGCUGAUCAAGAAUAAGAGACAUGGCACUUGGCUAGACUGUUCUAUCUUUUAACCACUCAAGACAGAAGUGACAGUUACAAGUCCCAUGGUGAAGGUAAAGUAAGUAAGUUUUAAGUCUUGACAGUUUACUCUAACUCAGAGAUGAGAUCUUAUUUAAAAGCAUGUGUACCGUCAAAUUUUUUAAGAUAUUGCAACUACUUAUGAUCCAUAGCUGAGUCUAUCCUUGCUUAGGGACGAGCAAGAGGUAAGCUUGGGGGAGUUUGUUGACGGUCCUUAAGUAUCAAAUUUAAUUAUCAAAUAAAUAAAGAAAAGGAUCCAAAUGAAAUAAAGAUCUAGACUUAGGGUUUUAUCUCACAGAAUUCCACGAGUUUUGGUGUUUGUCUAUUUCUGCAGGGGGUUAUCAGGAAAUAUGGAAGAAAGGCCCACAUGUCAGGAUUACGUAAAGAUAUUAACGUGCUGCGCAAUUAUCUUACAUCUAGAAGACUCCAGAAGCCACGAGACCGAAGCGGAGGCGAAUCGGGGCCAGAGACAGGGCGCCCGCCCUGUCCAACUGGGCGCCCGCCCUGCCCCCAAGUCCAAUCAGGACUCUGCUUUGCGGGAAGUCUCCACCGACCUAAAGGAUGAAUCUAAACCAUACAAUCUAUGUCGGUUUGAUCCAAGGGCCCAUAUUCACUUGAAGGGACUAUAAAACCAGACCCCCUGGCCCCUGGAGGAGAGAGCCUCUCAACCCUAAUUCAUUGUUCCAUCAAGGGAGAAGAAGCCUCUGAUCAAGAUUAGAGCCACCACAUCAAUUAGAUAUCUAGAUUAGCAUAGCUACAUAGGAUUAGAACUAGAAGGAGUCAAUCUUCGAUUGGUUUCCGGAUCUGUCAGGAGGAUUCUUGGUAAUUCUCUAAUUGUGCUUCUAAUUGCUUUCUAAUUAUCUUUGUUCUUCAAUAUUAUGAAUAUGACUUUGUUCUACUUCAAUAUAUUGCUUAUGACUUUGCUCUACUUGCUUAUAUUCAAGAUUAUAUUGUUCUUAGUUUAUCAUAGUUANNNNNNNNNNNNNNNNNNNNNNNNNNNNNNNNNNNNNNNNNNNNNNNNNNNNNNNNNNNNNNNNNNNNNNNNNNNNNNNNNNNNNNNNNNNNNNNNNNNNNNNNNNNNNNNNNNNNNNNNNNNNNNNNNNNNNNNNNNNNNNNNNNNNNNNNNNNNNNNNNNNNNNNNNNNNNNNNNNNNNNNNNNNNNNNNNNNNNNNNNNNNNNNNNNNNNNNNNNNNNNNNNNNNNNNNNNNNNNNNNNNNNNNNNNNNNNNNNNNNNNNNNNNNNNNNNNNNNNNNNNNNNNNNNNNNNNNNNNNNNNNNNNNNNNNNNNNNNNNNNNNNNNNNNNNNNNNNNNNNNNNNNNNNNNNNNNNNNNNNNNNNNNNNNNNNNNNNNNNNNNNNNNNNNNNNNNNNNNNNNNNNNNNNNNNNNNNNNNNNNNNNNNNNNNNNNNNNNNNNNNNNNNNNNNNNNNNNNNNNNNNNNNNNNNNNNNNNNNNNNNNNNNNNNNNNNNNNNNNNNNNNNNNNNNNNNNNNNNNNNNNNNNNNNNNNNNNNNNNNNNNNNNNNNNNNNNNNNNNNNNNNNNNNNNNNNNNNNNNNNNNNNNNNNNNNNNNNNNNNNNNNNNNNNNNNNNNNNNNNNNNNNNNNNNNNNNNNNNNNNNNNNNNNNNNNNNNNNNNNNNNNNNNNNNNNNNNNNNNNNNNNNNNNNNNNNNNNNNNNNNNNNNNNNNNNNNNNNNNNNNNNNNNNNNNNNNNNNNNNNNNNNNNNNNNNNNNNNNNNNNNNNNNNNNNNNNNNNNNNNNNNNNNNNNNNNNNNNNNNNNNNNNAAAGAAAAAAGAGCGCCCAAGAGGCGCAAGAGGCAGCGCUCGUACGAGGUCGAGCCUAGUCUUUCCCGCACGGCGUUGCCCGAGAGACAUGGAUGCUGCAGCUGGAGGAGCAUUCUUAUCACUUACUAUACCACAAGCCACAGCUCUUGUGGAGAAGAUGGCGUUCAAUCAAAGCUGGAAUGAAAAGAGGACCCAGACACGCAAGAGAGGUGGAGGUAUGCAUCAGCUCAAGGAGGUAGACAUGCUGUCUGCAAAGCUAGACCUGCUCAUGAAGAAGCUCGAUGAUAAAGCUGGAGACAAGAAAGAAGUUAUGCACAUCUACGACUCUCACAUGACUUGUGAGGAGUGUGGAGACACUGGACACUCAGGCAACCACUGCCCUGAGAUACUUGAGGAUGAGAACUACAUCAACAACAACAACUACUACAACCGUCCUCAACAAAAUCAAGGUUGGAAUCAACAGAGGCCUAACUACUCAGGUAAUUAUCAAGGUAACAAUUCUUUCAACAAUAAUAAUAAUUUUCCACCUUUGAGAGAGUUAGUGUCUAAUCAAGGAAAGCUAAUGGAAAACCUAUCUAAGAAAUUGGCAUCUAAUGAUAAAAUGCUAGAAAAUAUAAAUAAUAGAAUGGAUAAUUUUUCUACUGCCAUCAAGAAUCAAAUUAGCUUUAAUAAAAUGAUUGAAUCUCAGUUAAAUCAAAUAGCUGCUGCUGUUCCUACUACUAACCCCGGUAUACCAUCACAACCGGAAGGAUUAGAAUCUGCAAAUCUUGUAGACAUGUUUGAUGCAGGUAAUUGGAGUAACCCCGUCAAUGAAUUUUCUACUGACCUUCUGCCGGUCAAGAGAGGCGAUCCAGGACGCCCCGUCAUCCCGAUCUCCAUCGGCAUGGUGGAUGUCCGAGAAGCACUCUGUGACUUUGGCUCCAGUGUCAACAUUAUACCCAGGGUACUCUAUGAAAAAUUCUUUACAUAUCCUUUAUUAGAAACAACCAUGUGUUUGGAGUUUGCAGAUCAGAUGAUAACUUUUCCAAAAGGAAUAGUGAGGAACCUUUGUGUUCGAGUUGGUACCUUAUAUGCCCCAGCAGACUUCGUAGUAGUAGAGACCGGAAAUGAUGAGAGAGCACCUAUCAUUCUAGGGAGGCCAUUCUUGAACACCACGGGAGCUAUCAUCUACGCCAGUGCUGCUAAGAUCAGUUUCUAUGUCAAAGGGAAGAAGGAGACAUUUUUCUUCAAGAACAAGACUACACAAAUUCCAAAUCAAUCCAGACGUGAAUCAAGGAAGAGGACCAACAGGAGGAACAGGAACAAGCAAGUGUGGACCGAGUCAGCUAAGAUGGUCACUGUAGUCCAUGGAGGCCAAGAUCACCAACUGAAGUCACCGUUUUUGACCAAAAAGGACGACCCAGGAAUGCCAAGCAUUUACUGCUCCAUAAAUGGAUACAACUUCUACAAGACGAUUUGCGACACCGGAUCAGGCGUCAACAUAAUGGCCGCAGUCACCUAUCGGCUCUUGUUCGGAACCAUGCCACUAAGACCAACAUACAUUCAACUCCAGAUGGCAGAUCAGACAUUUCGAGAAGUUAAAGGAAUAGUAUCUGAUGUCCCAGUCAAAAUAGACGAUCACUUUGUCUACACAGACUUUCAAGUUGUUGACAUGGGAGAAGAUGAAUAUGAUCCACCCAUCAUCCUUGGAAGACCGUUCCUCGGCACCGUUAAAGCAAUUAUCUAUAUUGGAACCGGAGAAGUCCAUAUGCACUUCCCCUCAGAGAAGGUACGCCGUUAUUUUACUGACCCUAACUAUAUCGUUGAAGAAUCUAAGCAGGUCAGAAAAAGACGCAACCGCAACCAGAGGAGGCAGAUCAUCAAGGACGGAUGGGCAGACUAUGAAGGAGAAGUUGUAAGGUCAGAAAACGUAGAGUUUAAACAGAAUUAUCCAGAGGAGAUUGAAGCACCGAGUCAGGUGUGGAAAAUGAAGAUAACUAUACAAGAAGAGGAGGCGCUGCCGGAAGUACCGACUACGCCACCCAACGAACCUCAGGACGAUUGAGGAAAUGGAGAGUCCCGUUCGGAGGACUUAAAAACACCGAACGCCUUGCCAAGAGGUAAACUUGGUAGUUAUCCUUUCCCUUUCAAUUAUUUUAAAAUAGUUUAUUUAGUUAAACAUGUUCAUGCUAUCCUAAAAAGAAAAUAAAAAUAUGAAAAACAGUAAGCCCCAUGUGAGUAUACGAGUGGCAUAAAACCCAUACAUACAUUCACUGUGGUGGCAUAAAAAUAAAAUAAAUAUUUUUCUGCUUUAUAAAAAUAAAAAUAAAAAUAUAAAAACAGGGAGUAAUAUUUACUAAGGAGUCUCAAGAUGAUAAAAGCUAGAUAUUUAUGCUAACACUUAAUCAGUUCCACAAGCUUUGUUGUCUAUUUGAGCUCCACAGAAUUUAAGAAUCAAGAAGACUAGCAGACGGAGGACAUUCUAAUCGCUGUCAGAAUGCUGCUGACUUUCAAAUACACCUCUGCCACCUGUUAGCUACAUCAAGAGAAAUUACGUCAAAAUUCAGCUUGGGGGAGAGCACCCCCAUUUAUCACGAUAAGUAUUUCUAUCUAUCUUUAUACUUAUAUUAUUUUAGAAUAUUAAUACACAUAAACUAUGGGAAAACCAAAUAAAGAUUUUAUGCUUAUAUAUAUAUUACUUAGUGUGUUUAAUAAAUAAAUAAAGUGGCUAUGCUAAUCUGUAUCUAAUAAAACUUAAGCAUGGAUAUGAUGAAUAGUUGCUCUGCCUAAUUUGCACAUUUUAAGUUCUCUCUCAAGUUUAGACAUAACUGUUAUAAUUUAAAGCUUGCUCUAGACCUAAACUUGUGGGAUGAAAACUUGAUCUGAAGUCUAAGUUGUUAACGGAUACGAUAUGGGAAGGUUGAGCUGCUGUUUAUCUGUUCCUAGAGAUGCUAGAAUUCUGGAGAAUUUUAUCUUUGAAAAUCUUUAAAAUGUUGCAUGAUGAGUUCCUGUAUGAUGAGAGCUUAAAAUUCCUACCACAGCCAUAUAUACAUGCUUGCUAGACUUUGAGCCACACAUUUACUAUUUACUGCUUAUGAGCAUUGACUAUGGUCAAGCUGUGUAGACCCUUAGGAGCUUGUCAUGUGGUUAAAUCAAGAUUUCACUUGCACGUUCACUCAUAUAUGCUACUUCUAUUCUGGAAAUACCAUCCACAUAUAUCCAUCCAUUCCAUCUCCAGAACCACCUGAAAAUAUUCUACUCCUAAUCCGGGAGAGAAUAACCAAAAAUAUUUCUGUUUUCCCCUUGUGAAAUAAAUGCUCAAGUUAUCUUGUUACUACCACUUGCUAUAUUAUCUCAAGAGAUGAGUGUUCUAAAAAAAAGAAGAAGAAAAUAAUACGAGGAAAUAAAAAGGAGCAAGUGCUCGGAGCCUCGAAAGAAAAGAAAAAGUGAGACGAGAGGUAAAAAUGGACAAGUGUCCGACAGUAGAAUUAGAGGCACAAGAUACCCACCUGAGAGAAAAGAAAAAGAAGAGCAUCUCAUUCUCCUCAUAAAGUUUCAAAAGCAAGGAAGGUAUGUAUCCCCUCAAAAGAGCAAAGUAGAAUUAGACUUUCACCACCAUUGUUUUCACCAUUGUUUUCACCAUUGUUAUCACCAUCAUCACCAUAUACCAUUCAUUCGCCACACAUGCACAUCUUGAUUAAACUUAUUGACUUGUUACUUUGUAUCCAUGGUUUGACUAUGCAAUACAUGUCUUGUAAGUAUGUAUACUUUAUCUCCCACCUAUGAGCUCCAGAUAUUAAAGCCUUAUUAGAGUAGGAUGAGAGAGAAGGCAAUGUCACUAUGCCUUAUACCCCAAAUACCACAUAUCUUGAGAGAAGGCAUAUACCAUCAAUGCCUUGGUAAGGAUCCAAAAAUACCACAAAAGAGAGACCUGAGAGAAUCAUAUAAGGAAUCUCUGAGUUUUAUUUGAAAAUCUGCAAAAAUCCCAGAGCUAUAGCUGAUCAAGAAUAAGAGACAUGGCACUUGGCUAGACUGUUCUAUCUUUUAACCACUCAAGACAGAAGUGACAGUUACAAGUCCCAUGGUGAAGGUAAAGUAAGUAAGUUUUAAGUCUUGACAGUUUACUCUAACUCAGAGAUGAGAUCUUAUUUAAAAGCAUGUGUACCGUCAAAUUUUUUAAGAUAUUGCAACUACUUAUGAUCCAUAGCUGAGUCUAUCCUUGCUUAGGGACGAGCAAGAGGUAAGCUUGGGGGAGUUUGUUGACGGUCCUUAAGUAUCAAAUUUAAUUAUCAAAUAAAUAAAGAAAAGGAUCCAAAUGAAAUAAAGAUCUAGACUUAGGGUUUUAUCUCACAGAAUUCCACGAGUUUUGGUGUUUGUCUAUUUCUGCAGGGGGUUAUCAGGAAAUAUGGAAGAAAGGCCCACAUGUCAGGAUUACGUAAAGAUAUUAACGUGCUGCGCAAUUAUCUUACAUCUAGAAGACUCCAGAAGCCACGAGACCGAAGCGGAGGCGAAUCGGGGCCAGAGACAGGGCGCCCGCCCUGUCCAACUGGGCGCCCGCCCUGCCCCCAAGUCCAAUCAGGACUCUGCUUUGCGGGAAGUCUCCACCGACCUAAAGGAUGAAUCUAAACCAUACAAUCUAUGUCGGUUUGAUCCAAGGGCCCAUAUUCACUUGAAGGGACUAUAAAACCAGACCCCCUGGCCCCUGGAGGAGAGAGCCUCUCAACCCUAAUUCAUUGUUCCAUCAAGGGAGAAGAAGCCUCUGAUCAAGAUUAGAGCCACCACAUCAAUUAGAUAUCUAGAUUAGCAUAGCUACAUAGGAUUAGAACUAGAAGGAGUCAAUCUUCGAUUGGUUUCCGGAUCUGUCAGGAGGAUUCUUGGUAAUUCUCUAAUUGUGCUUCUAAUUGCUUUCUAAUUAUCUUUGUUCUUCAAUAUUAUGAAUAUGACUUUGUUCUACUUCAAUAUAUUGCUUAUGACUUUGCUCUACUUGCUUAUAUUCAAGAUUAUAUUGUUCUUAGUUUAUCAUAGUUAUGUACUUGGCUUAGUUAGAUACGAUCUAUAUACAUGCUUAGGAUCGUUUAGCGUUUAUCCAUCGGAUCCAUGGGUAAAUGAUAGAUAUUGUGUAGGCGUGGUGCUUAUACCGUAUUUAUCUGCGAUUGUACCCAAUAUGCCAGAUCGUGGGGUGGUUCGUGAUAGUGAAAGCUUCAUUGAUUCUUAUAUAGUCCCCCUCUCGUGUAUUGGGCUGGCAGAGCAACAUUAUUACAGGGGAGUGAUUGCUAUGUUUCUCAUAUUCCUUGCUAAUAUCACUAUGCAUGGGCGUAGUCUUGUCUCGCAAUGAUUGCUAAGUGUGCUUGCACUAACUACGAUAUGCUAGACUAUAUAGUUAAGAAUAACUUAGGGAAUAUUCUUGUAGUUCGUUCUAAUACCAUGCUAAUGACUUUCUAGAGUAUCUAAUUGAGGUGCUUAUCAUAUUUAUUAUGUGGCUAGAUCAGAUUAGUUAUCCUUGUCACUAUUAUCAUUUCAUAUAUCUUUUAUGUGACACUUAUCCCUGUAUGAUGAGUUAGAUAUAAUGUUCUCAAUUAUACAUGCAAUGAUAGAUGCUCAAUCUCAUAUUCUAUUCUGUAAUCAAUAGUGAUGAUUGCUAAUCCCUUCCCAAUGGUAAAAAUAUAAAUAACGAUACCUGGAAUACUUCCCGGUUAAAAUGCUGCAUCGGUAUUAAUCUGUGCGCUUGCAGAUCCCAUUCAUUAUUUAUUUAGAAGAGCAAUUGCAUAUUUCAAUACCGCGUCUCUUAUAUCAUGCUGGGGAUGACAACUUGGCUUAAGUGGUGUAAGGGAUAGGUUUGGCAUUUUUGGCACCGUUGCUAGAUUUAGAACUUAGUCUACUUUUAGUAAUGAUGUUAAGAAUACCCAACACAUAGCAUUCCUCUAGUUGCCAUCAAAACCCUUAUGCUAUUAAAUUCACCGGGUGGGACUAUACCAGUUUAUUAUUGUUGCCCCUUGUUGACGGUCCUUAAGUAUCAAAUUUAAUUAUCAAAUAAACAAAGAAAAGGAUCCAAAUGAAAUCAACAUCCAGACUUUGGGUUUUAUCUGACAGAAUUCCAUGAGUUUUGGUGUUUGUCUAUUUCUGCAGGGGGUUAUCAGGAAAUAUGGAAGAAAGGCCCACACGUCGGGAUUACAUAGAGAUAUCAACGUGUCGCGCAAUUAUCUUACAUCUAGAAGACUCCAGAAACCACGAGAACGAAGCAGAGGCAAAACAGGGCCUGGCCCUGGAUGCCCGCCCAGGAGACCAGGGCGCCCUCCCCCCUGCUGAGUCCAAUCAGGACUCUCUUUCAGGAUUAAGCUCCACCGACCUAAAGGAUCAAGGAUAACCGUUCAAUCAAUGUCGAUUUGAUCCAACGGCCCAUAUUCACUUGAAGGGACUAUAAAACCAGACCCCCUGGCCCCUGGAGGAGAGAGCCUCUCAACCCUAAUUCAUUAUUCAUCAAGGGAGAAGAAGCCUCUGAUCAAGCCUAGAACCACCACAUCAAUUAGACAUCUAGAUUAGCAUAGCUACAUAGGAUUAGAACUAGAAGGAGUCAGUCUUCGAUUGGUUUCCGGAUCUGUCAAGAGGAUUCUUGGUAAUUCUCUAAUUGUUCUUCUAAUUGUUCUUCAAUAUUAUGAAUAUGACUUUGUUCUACUUCAAUAUAUUGCUUAUGACUUUGCUCUACUUGUUUAUAUUCAAGAAUAUAUUGUUCUUAGUUUAUCAUAGUUAUAUACUUGGCUUAGUUAGAUUGGAUCUAUAUACAUGGUUAGGAUUGUAUAGCGUUUAUCCAUCGGAUCCAUGGGUAAAUGAUAGAUAUUGUGUAGGCGUAGUGCUUAUACGUAUUUAUCUGCGAUUGUACCCAAUAUGUCAGAUCGCGCGGUAGUUUGUGAUAGUGACAGCUUCAUUGAUUCUUAUAUAGUCCCCCUCUCGUGUAUUGGGCUGGUAGAGCAACAUUAUUAUAGGGGAGUGAUUACGAUGUUUCUCAUAUUCCUUGCUAAUAUCACUAUGCAUGGGCGUAGUCUUGUCUCACAAUGAUUGCUAAGUAUACUUGCACUAACUAUGAUAAUGCUAGACUAUAUAGUUGAGAAUAACUUAGGAAAUAUUCUUGUAGUUUGUUCUAAUUUCAUGCUAAUGACUUUCUAGAAUAUCUAAUUGAGGUGCUUAUCAUAUUUAUUAUGUGGCUAAGUUAUGCUGAUCAGAUUAAUUAUCUUUAUCACUAUUCAUUACUUUAUAUCCAUUAUGUGACACACUUACCCUUGUAUGAAAGAGUUAGAUAAAUGUUUUUAAUUAUACAUGCAAUGAUGGAUACUCAAUCUCAUAUUCCAUUCUAUAAUCAACAUUGAUGAUUGCUAAUCCCUUCCCAGUGGUAAAAAUAUAAAUACCAAUACCUGGAAUACCUCCCGGUUAAAAUGCUACAUCGGUAUUAACCUGUGCGCUUGCACAUCCCAUUCAUUAUUUAUUUAGAUGAGCAAUUGCAUAUUUCAAUACCACGUCUCUCAUGUCAUGCUGGGGAUGACAACAUGGCUUAAGUGGUAAGAGGGAUAGGUUUGGCAUAUUUUGCACCGUUAUCAGAAUUAGAAAACUGUCUACUUUUGGUAAUGAUGUUAAGAAUACCCAACAAGCAUUUUUUGCGCCGUUGCCGGGUAAGGUUGAUUACUAAUCAGGAAUGAAUAUAGGACUUUGAGUUUUCAUUCGCAUCACUAAUAUGUUGAGCUUAUCAAUUCUCUCAUACAGUUUUACCCUGAUAUUUUUCUAUUUUAUCUUAUGCAGGGUAAUGUAUGAAUAGAAGACAUCUUCCAGGAAAUUUUGUUGACAAUCCCGAAGCCUUAUUCAGAAAAACAAGAGCUAAGCUCAAGAAGAGGUCAUCAACACUUCAGCAAGAAGCUUCAUCCAAUCAAGAAUAUCACCGGCACUUGUGUUCAGAGUUCGAAGCCAUGGCGAACAAAUCGAUCCGUGAGUUCUCAGCUCCUGUUGACGGUCCUUAAGUACCAAAUAUAAUCAUCAAAUAAAUAAAGAAAAGGAUCCAAAUGCAACCAACACCCAGACUUAGGGUUUUAUCUGACAGAAUUCCACGAGUUUUGGUGUUUGUCUAUUUCUAAAGGGGGUUAUCCGGAAAUACGAAAGAAAGGCCCACACGUCGGGUUUACAUAGAGAUAUUAACAUGCCGCGCAAUUUUCUGUCAUCUAGAAGAUUCCAGAAGCCACGGGAACGAACGGGAAGGCGAACGGGCCCGGGGGCAAGGCGCCCGCCCACCCCCCUUGGGCGCCCGCCCUGACCUGGAUUCGUUUCAGAACUCUCUUCGGGGAUUACGCUCCACCGACCUAAAGGAUCAAGGAUAACUGUUCAAUCAAUGUCGGUUUGAUCCGACGACCCAUAUUCACUUGGAGGGACUAUAUAACCAGACCCCCUGGCCCCUGGAGGAGAACAAGUUCAUCAUAGAGUUGAGAGGAGCCCUCGAAGGAAUACCUCUCCUCUAAAUAAAAUUUCUUUUAGGCUUAGCAUGCAAUGUGAGUAGAAUUAGAUCUUCUAGUUUCUACUAGAUUGAGAGAGAUAGAGUGGAGUUGUAGAUCGGAGGAAGCCCGGCCUGUCAGUGUCUACUCUGAGAUUGUACCUACGGGAUCAAGUUCUCCUAACCCGAAGCUUGCUCCUAGGAUUCUUCAGUAAUUCAACUUCUAAUUCUAGUAAGUUCUUGUUUUAUUGAUCUUUGGUUUAUGAGUUUACUUUAAUCUCUUCCGGUUGAGUUUAGAGUAAUCAUUGCUAGCGUAAACAUGGUGUUUGGGCUAGGGUACUCAUAGAUAUCCCCUGACUAGCUGGACCGUGGUAGUAGCGCGGAACGUGACAUUUCCGAGUUACCUUUGCAGACCAUAUCUCGUUAGCAAGAAGGAUAGGGUUUAUAGGUGCAGGUCGAACAUCCUCUGUGGUGUCUAGAUUCCGUGAGCCUCCCAAUAGAACAGUAGAUCAUCCUUACCAAGGUUAGAACGAGACUACAGUUGCAGUCUUCUCUAUACAUCACUCACAUCGAGAAACAUUCUUUCUAGCCUAAAGGGUAGUAGCAAUAGAUUUGGCUAGUCAGAUGCACGCUUUCUCCCAGUGGUAAAAAUAUAAAUAUGAUACUCUGGAUAACAUCCCGGGUGGAAUGCUCACCGAUAUCCGUGCGCUUGCGGAUCAAUUCCUGAUUGCGUAACCAAAUAUCAAAAAGCAUUUCUGGCGCCGUUGCCGGUGAAAAAGACGGUUUGCUAAGAUAACUUUAAGUCUUGCUAUUAUCUUGUAUUAUACUUUUAUACUUUUAUUCUUUUAUCUUUUUAUUUUUAUCUUUAUUGAUAACUUAAAUUCCAUACCUAUUAUUGAAUUCUUUGCACCUUCGGAGACCAGCGAUAGACCAUGGGAGUCAACAAGUCCUGCCCCUAAUUAUGAUUUGUGUCCACAGUUGAUUGCAAUAGGUCAAAACCAACCCUUUUCUAUAGCUGAGGUCCUAUCUUUUAAUCAAGAAGGCAAUGAACUUUUGGCUACACCUAGGGAAUCUUUUAAUCUUUCUAUAAAUUUUAGUUUAGACCUAGCCCUACAAGACCAUGUUUUUUCUCGAUAUUUUCACAUUGGUCUUAAUCAUAUAACCUUUGGUAGAGUUUUUCUUUCUUUAUCUGUUAGCAAAGCAAGGUAUGUCUUCAUUCGUGGACAUCCUUCUUGCACUAGUCUUCAUCAAAAAAUCCUAAAGAUAGACAAGGAAUCAUCUCCCGAACGAGGAAAGGAAGUUUCAAUAGCAAAUUUCUAAACAUUUCAAUCCCAUGAUUCGUCUAUCCAACCCAUCCUUGAGCUUAAUAAUUUCGACUAUGCUCUUUCUCUUGAACCUCCCGAUAAUCCUAUGAAUCUCUUUAGACAUCCCAUGCAUAAGAAGGAGGAUCGAGAAGAGCAACAUCAAUGGCUAGAAGGCAUUAAAAAUCCAUGUGCUAUCACCAUUGAAUGGAUGGAUAAAACAAACUUGAGAGACAAUCCUAGAGGAAUUCUAAGCAUUCAUGAAGAAUCAUCCUUGGAGUUUGAGGAUGAGAGAAACAACAGUGAGCAUGGAAGUUAUUUCAUAAAUACCUCACCAAGUCCUUGCUCAUAUAAAACAUCUCCCCAAUCAAUUGGUCUCUCCAACCUUACCACAUUUGAGAUCUCCACCCCCCUCUUCCAUUCUAUUUAUAAAAACUUUAAUAAGGCGGUUGUCGAUGCAUAUGUCUAUAAUAAAUAUUGCAGAUCUCGUUGAGUUGAUCUUGAUAUAGGUUAGCGUUGGAAGGGGAACCACUUCGCCGACAUAAAUUGAUGGUUUCCCAAGGACAAGCUUAGUGUCCAAAAACAAGCACUGAUCAGAUCCUGACAUGAACUUCUAAUUAUUUGCAACAUUGCCUUGUGUAUUGAGCAUACAAAGAUAAUUGUAGAAAUAUUCCUUCGGGUUUUCUUGUCACUAACCUUUUCAGGAUUGGAGCAAUAAGAUCAGAUGAAUGACAAGCACAAGGUAUGUCCAACCAACCAUCACACAACAUUGAAUUAAAUUCAUCCAAUCUUGAAUUUUGCAAAAUUCAAGCUUGGGGGAGUACUUUACAUAAAAACAUCAUUUGCCAUGUUGCUAUGUUGGUUGUCCCUACCUUUGAGACAUGCUCAAUUUGUUAAAUACUAAUCACACUACUUCAUCUCCAUUUAAGUAGAUUUCUAUAAAAGCCAUCAUGUUACCUAUGUUUAUCCUAGUAAGUGUUAGUUUGGAAGUACUGUACAUACUUCUAUUAGCUUUUUAAUUAAGCGUGGUGCUUAGGUUAAAUAGCCUUCCUUAAUCUGAUUAGACAUGGAGUCUAGUUUGGUUACUGAACUAAAAACUGCUUGAGUAGGCAUUGGUAUAUUUUGUCGGACUAACCCCAGCAAGAAAACAUUCAAUAUCAACCUGGGAAGUCCUGAGAUACAAACUCAUUGGAGAUAAAGGAGACACACAAAGUUUAACAAUUUGCACAAGAAGGACAUAGCUCAUUCAUCAUAAAGAGAUGAUCUAUGGAGGGUUCCACAAACACGAUGCACUACCGCUAAGAAAGGAAAGCUUCCACAAGAUGAUACUAUACCGUCACUCUUCAAGUAAGGUAACAUCUUAAGGUACUUGACUAUCGCUUUUAUAAGCUGCUCCUUGGUUCUGGCGUUCACAUAAAAUAAAGAGACAAACAUGCAUGAUUUGUAACUCCAAAUUAACCAACCCAAUUAAUUGGACAUGUUUAGUCCUUCAAUCUUUGUUCUUAGUACUACCUUCGUGAUCCCACACUCCUAAUCAUAUAAGUUAAAAUAUUGCACAUUCAUUCUUUGGAAGAUAUAAACAAAACAUAAAUAUAGAUAGAUUAUCUUUCCAUUAGGUUGAGCCAUCUGAUCUGACAAAUGCUACACUCAUGAUCCAUCAACUUUGUCCUACUCACUAUGCUUAAGGUUAGAGAAGAACAAAUACACUUUUGGUUCUAUUGGUGUUUUCCACCAACAGGGCCCAUGCACUUGAUCUCUGCCUUGUUUCUAUGAGCAGGUACACUUCAAGCAAAACAUGGAGGAGUUUUACAAUUCCCAGACUCCACCAAGUGAAGGACCUGGAUCUACAAGCACAUACACACUGAGCAGGAUAUUGUCAACACCGCACUUCGAACUGUUGGGCAAACAACGAACAUGGGUGACUCCGUAUCAAGAGGUGCAGACAUCAAGGUCCACACCUAAUCAUAUGAUGCACCUACAGGAUGAAGACGGUGAGAACUCUUGUCCAGAAGACUUAAAACAUUGGAUCCUUCUCGGAGGAGGUCAAGAUCGUUGUGGGGGUAUGAACCCCUAUACCCCUACAGCUAGACUUGGGCCAGGAGACUUGGCCCAUCAUGAAGAUAGUUCGAGGCUUGAUCCAACUGCUCGGAGUUUCGCGCAAGGAAACAAGACAUGGAGAUCAAGUCGGAUUCUAGACGGUUAGAAUAGGAAUUGAUAUCAUGCUAUCUAUGGCAAUUGUAACCGACUAGGAUUAGUUUCCAGAUCUGUAACCCUGCCCUCCGGACUAUAUAAGGAGGGGCAACAGACCCCCCUAGGACACAUUAUUAUCUCAACACAAAUCAAUACAACCAGACGCAGGACGUAGGUAUUACGCCGACACGGCGGCCGAACCUAGAUAAAAAGCUUGUCCGUGUCUUGCGUCACCAUCAAGUUCGUAGCUUGCGCACCGUCUACCGAUAAACUACUGCCGUGGGUAUACCCCAAGGUAGACUGCCGACUAGAUUUCGUCGACAGUGGCGCGCCAGGUAGGGGGUGUGCGUACAGCUCUCUCGACGAACAAGAUGGUCAUCGUUCCAGCUUCCGCGGUCGUGCCUGAAGGCCUCACGUUCACCGUCGGCCAGAUCACGUGGACGACUCAUAGCGGCGGCCUCACGACCACGACUUCGGAAGAAACCCAGAUCCGUUCUGGGACGACAGCGGCGUCGAUUUCGAUCACGCCGACACCGAGCACUCGACCUCCGCUCCCUCGUUACAGGAGAAAGAAGGUCAACGACUCGGAUCUUUUCUGAGACCUUGAUCGCGCCGACCUCAAGCUCCUCGAAGCUUCCCGACUAGUAGAUGGGAUCUCAUGCCAAUCUGAUCAAGUCGCGCCGACGGACUCUUUUGACUCCUGUCGGCCAACUCGUGUCGUCACACACGAACAGCUGGGGACGUCUCCGACAAUAACGUCCACUCCCACGGGGCGGUCCAUCGAGCUCAAGGCAGAUCCAGACCAGAGUUCUCCCUACGGACUAAACAACUUGGCCGGUCACUACUCAUGGCACAUCCAAUCCCUUUUCAACAGGGCGGGGUAGUCGCCGAGAUAGAGCAGCCGAGCAGCUCGCCAUUACGUCAACAUGGUAUCAAUCCAAGUACUGCCGAACGAUCAGGCUUCCAGUACAAAUUCCAGCACAGGGUCUAUCCCUACCGAGGUUAUAAACUCCGAGCGAAGAUUAUGACCUGGAUUUACCACCGUAUCCUCCGAGUUUUUCUCGCUUCCUAGUCUUUCCACCUCGGCGGGGAGAUCUUAUCUUCAAUGUCAGCAAUGAUGAACUGGUUGUGGACGGAGAAACAGACGAGCAGAAGCAGCUCGGCGAACAGCGCAACGCCGACCGCGCUCGGCGGCGCGCGGACGAGGAACGGCAACUUGCGCCGCAUAACCUUAGUGAUGCUUUCGACAUGGUCGGAGAUCAGCAAGUCUACAAAACGCCAAGUGCUAACAUGGCUGUUGCUAUGGCAAACCUGGACCGACUCCCUGAUACUCCUGAGUGCCAGGGUGUCCGAUCCAGUAUACGGGCACACCUGAUCGCCGCGAUGGGACAGACAGCCACCUUACUAGACUCAUCGCAGAGGUCGAAGCUAUCUCCUACACAGAGGUCUCUUCCGACUAGACUCAUCGCAGCCGGACUUCACCACAACCCAGGGAGCGCCACCGUAGCCGCUCUCCCAACAAUCGCAGGAAGGAUGUGGGGCACGACAACCGUGGUCGGGACGCCGGUGGUUACUGCGAGCAGAAGCGUGGGUGUGGUCAGGAUGUAAACCAAGUCAGGGAUCUACGAUACAACAUCCCUCCCAGGGACACCCGGGACCACAUCAACAGGCGCACCACGGAAAGAGCGGUGCACGAAAACUUGCGACGCAUUGAGUACGAUGCCGCACAUGGCACUCAACUUUAAACUUGAGAAGCUUAAAAAAUAUGACGGCAAGGAAAACCCAGAAAACUAGAUCACUCUCUACGAGAUUGCAGUUCGGUCAGCAGCAGGAGACGAGCACGUCAUGGCAAACUACUUCCCAGUCGUCCUCGACCAGGCUAGUCAUCAGUGGCUGCUCGGCCUGCCCGAGGACUCUUUCGACUCUUAGGAAGAACUGCGCCAGGCGUUUAUCGACAAUUUCAUCGCUUCCUGCAAGCAGCCUGGGAACAAGUACGACCUCGAGAGAAUAAGGGACAGGAAAAACUAGCCUCUGCGUGAUUACAUCCGACGAUUCUCCGAUAUGCGUCUUAAAAUUCCGAAAAUUUUUCACGACGAGGCCAUAUCAGCUUUCAUCAAAGGGCUACGCUUCCACGAAGCACUGAGAAACAAGCUACUGGGCAAAAGGCUGACCACGAUGGCCGAGCUCGUCGCUAUGGCAAAAAACCUCAUCCGAGAAGAUGCGAGAGGCUCCGACCAGCCUCUUCGACGAGACGACAGUCGUGGACGUUUUGACAAUAGGAACCAUCACCGCACUGACAGCUGCGACCAUAGAGAAGGUUGGGACAGGCGCCGUGACAACCGUGAUGAUUUCAGGGGCAAGCGCCCUCGCGACCAUGACCACGAGGUGAACACGGUCAAGCGCCCCAAUGGGCGGCGAGACUACCAGGAAGAUUACAACAAGACGUUGAAAGGACCGUGCCAACUCCAUCCCAAGUCCAAUCACACGAUGGAAAAAUGUCGUGUCCUAAAAAGCAUCUACACACAACGAGCCGCUCAAGACGAUUCCGCCAAGAAAAACGGGAUGCAGGACAUACGUGGUUGUUGACGGUCCUUAAUGCUCAUAUUUAACCAUCAACUAAUCAUGGAAAAGGUCUUAUAUGCAACCAACACCUAGACUUAGGGUUUCAUCUGACAGAAUUCCACGAGUUUUGGUGUUUGUCUAUUUCUGUAGGGGGUUAUCAGGAAAUAUGGAAGAAAGGUCCACAUGUUGGGAUUACAUAGAGAUAUUAACAUGCCGCGCGAUUUUCUACCAUCUAGAAGACUCCAGAAGCCACGGGAAGGAAGCGGAGGCCGAACGGGGCCAGGCAAUGGGCGCCCGUCCAGUUGACCUUGGCGCCCGCCCCCUCCUAGAGUCCAAAUAGGACUCUCUUUUGGGAUCAAUCUCCACCGGCCUCAAGGAUCAAGGAUAACCGUUCAAUCAAUGUCGGUUUGAUCCAACGGCCCAUAUUCACUUAAGGGACUAUAAAACCAGACCCCAUGGCCCCUGGAGAUCAUACCUCUUCUACAGAAUCAAAGCUAGGGUUUCAAUUCUUCAUCCAAGUAGAGAGGAUCCCUCUAGUUCUUCUAGUUCUACCUCUAGUUCAUCUAGAUCUAGUUCUAGUUCAUCUAGUUCUGGUUCUAGUUCCUCUAGUUCUAGUUCUAGUUAGUUCUAGUUGUAAUCUAGAAAAUAGGGAGAGAGAAGAGGAGAGCGGAGGAGGAGCCGGAUCUGUCGGAUCUUCCUCAACAUUGUACUUUUGCAGCAACUGGUUCGUUCUUCAUCGUUCUCCAGGUUCUUCAAUUCAUAAUCCUGAGUUCUUUAAUUACUUUUAUUUACAUUCAAGUUAUUUGUUGGAUUCCUGCUUGCAUCAAGUGCUCUAAUCUUUGCAGCAUUAGAGUAGUAAUUAAUAGAUUAGACGUGGUGUUUAGUCUUGCAAUUACUUGGAAUUGCACCCAAUCCUGCGGAUUGUUGUGGUAGCCUUAAGGUAGUGACAGCCCUAACGGUCGACGUAUUCCACCUCGUUUGGAUCGGUGUUUGUAGGACCGUAGUGAGACCUUCCUAGCCCCCUUCUCAUCUCUUUCUGUGGUUAGUGCUCUGAUGUCCCGAUAUAAAUAAUCUUUGAAGUAAUUCUUGAUUCUUAGAUCAACUAGAGAACUCUCAGGAAACUUCCUCUCUUCCCACCAAAAAUAAUUAUAUAGUUAUCCUUGGGCAAUCUUGAAUCUUAAUUAGUACACUCACGUUCCCUGUGGAAAAUCAAUACUCUGGAAUACUCCCGGGUGAAAGCUACAUCGCUAUCCGUGCGCUUGCAGAUUUUUUCUGUUUGCGUUUAAAAUACCCAACAAGCUUUCUGGCGCCGUUGCCGGGGAACGGUAGCUGUGCUAGUUUCAAACCAAGUCGUCCGUGUAUCCUUUUUCUUUUCUUUUUCUUUUUACCACCCUCACCUUACCAUUUUCACCACACCACAUGGAUUUCACUCCUAUCUAUAAAUUCUUUGCUCCAAAGGGCGAGUUAUUAGAGCCACCACCAUCAUCACAUCCAAUUCUUACAGAUGGCUACGACCUCGGCCCUGAUCUAAUAGCCAUGAUUCAGGAGCAACCCUUCUCUGGGCAAGUAGAUGAAGAUCCAUACACCCACCUUAGAGAAUUCGAGCAGUUGUGCUCUUGCCGAUCUAUUAUCGGCAUAACACAAGAAACCCUUAAAUGGAAAUUAUUUCUGUUCUCCCUUUUGGGAAGAGCAAAAAAGUGGUAUGCUCAUUCUGUAGGAGGCAUUAAUGGAAAUUGGGAUGAACUUCGAGACAACUUUUGUCUCGCUUUCUUCCCACUUUUUCGAAUCGCUGAUCUUAGAAUCGAAAUUCUUACAUUCAAACAAAGAGAGAAGGAAACUUUAGGAGCAGCUUGGGCUAGGUUCACAAGCCUUACCAAUUCUGGUCCAAACCUUGCCCUGCCUAACCAUGUAUUGUACUACCACUUUUAUCGUGGUCUAAACAAGGAAGCUGCUCUUCACCUCGACAUUGCUUCAGGAGGCUCAUUCACACACAAACUCACAGAUGAGGGGAAAGCUAUCCUAGAGAGAAUCCUUGAAAAUACCCCUUACACAGGCAUUUAUGAUGAGUUUCAUGAAAAAGAAAAAGAAGUCGAGCCAGAUCCAAAACCAAAAGAUGAGGAACUUGCAACCGAGUUAGAAAUUUCACCUGACCCAUCCAUUAAUUUGGUUGUAGAGAAACCUCCUGAUAAGGGAAUGCAAAACCGACUAAGAGAUGAUGAACCACCACCUUUAGAGCAUCCCUUUGAAUUUGAGGAAGAUCUUUUUGAAGAUUAUGGAAACACCUCGAAUUUUCCUAUCCAAACACGACCUCUAGCAGGGACCACUCAAUCCAUUCUAAGAGUAGAAUCUGUUGACAUAGAACACAUCAAAAGCCUUUCGGCUAUCCUGAGUUAUGAAUGGCUAACAGAAGGAGAGCUGUCUCUUGAGGUAGCUUGAAUCAUCACUCCUUCAACCAUUCUUCUAUGCCAAAUUAGAAGGUCCGCUAGGAAGGUCCACUACAAUCCAUAUGUUGGGAUAAAUGUUAUUUCCAAGGAGUUAGCUGACACUCUUUAUCCCAACGGGUCCAUAACCCCAUCUCAAAAACUUUUACGAAGUCCAUCUGGAUUAAUUCUAGAAAGCCAUGGGGUAUUAAGGGCAGUUCCUGUUAGAAUCAAGGACUUUGGAAUAUGUCUAGAUUUUCACAUUUUUGACAUACCGGAGAUUCCUCUCUUGAUUGGCAGACCAAUCAUGAAACAUCUACAAGAACAACCACAACGAGGUCAUUUAGACUUCAAGGUUGGGAAUUCCACUAUUAUUGUUCCUCUUGCUAGAUCAAUUAACACGAUAGUGGAACCCAAACUUGAACCAGAUCCUAUUGAGGAGAUCUUAAUGCUAACUCAAGAGGAGAUGGCCCAACCAUUCUUUAAUUAUGAACACUUUGUUCAAGAAGAAGAAGAGUUGGUAGAACCCAUUGAGCUAGACAAAAAAUGAACAACCUUCACCUCCUUUGAUAGAGUUAAAACCUCUUUCUUCUGGCCUUAGAUAUGUCUUUCUACACAACAACCCAAAAACUCCAGUAAUUAUCAGUGACAAGCUUUCCGAUUAUGAAACACAACAACUUGUCACUGUUCUUGAAAGGCAUAGAUCAGCAUUUGGCUAUUCUCACGAAGACCUCACGGGCAUUAGUCCCAUUCUCUGCACUCAUCGUAUCCCUAUUGAUCCCAAUUUUACACCUUCAAGGGAACCACAGCGGAGACUUAACAAUGCUAUGCGAGAGGUUGUUAAGAGAGAGGUCCUCAAACUCUAUCAUGCUGGUAUUAUUUAUCCUGUGCCACAUAGUGAGUGGGUUAGCCCUGUCCAAGUAGUGCCAAAGAAAGGAGGAAUGACGGUCGUUAGGAAUGAUAAGAAUGAACUCAUCCCUCAAUGAAUUGUCACUGGAUGGCGUAUGUGUAUUGACUAUCGAAAACUCAACAAGGCUACAAAGAAAGAUCACUUUCCAUUACCCUUCAUAGAUGAAAUGUUGGAACGGCUUGCAAACCACUCUUUCUUUUGUUUCCUUGAUGGUUAUUCUGGAUAUCACCAAAUCCCAAUCCACCCAGAUGACCAAGAAAAGACUACCUUUACAUGCCCGUAUGGAACUUAUGCAUAACGACGAAUGUCAUUCGGAUUGUGCAAUGCUCCAGCUUCUUUCCAACGGCGCAUGAUGUCUAUUUUCUCGGACAUGAUUGAGAAGAUCAUGGAGGUUUUCAUGGAUGAUUUUACCGUCUAUGGCAAAACCUUUGAUCAUUGUUUGGAGAAUUUAGAUAGAGUCUUGUAGCGAUGUGAAGAAAAGUGUCGGUGUUUUCCCCCUGGGGGGUCACACCAACUAGUAAAUUUGUAUGCGUGUUCCCUUUCCCAGAUGGUGAUGCAAAAAGGCACAAAGAUUUAUCCUGUUUCGGGCAAAAGAAGGCCCUACGUCCAGCGGGGGAGAGGAGAGUUUGUAUUAUUUUGCACCUAAGUGCUUGUACAGGGGUGAAUACAAGUGUGUGUGGGUGAACUGGGAUGAAGUAGCUCUACUACGGGUGUCUUGUGUUGUGUCGCGUGUCUCGUAUCCAUUCCCGGGCUUCCCCUUUUAUAGUUCCAAGGAGAGACCUAGGGUACAUGUAUAGGCGUCAGAGUAGGGGUCGAUAGAGGCAUGUCACGCUGACCUACUCGAGGCCUCUGUACCGGCAUGGUCUCGAACCAUCUUGUCCCGGUAGCUUGAUGAUGAUUACGCGUGCCCCGAUAUCCUGCUCUGCGUGCCGUCCUGGGCUGAUUCAUAUGUUGCACGCUUGUACGACGUGGUGGCAGCUAUGCCAGAGUGGUUGAAGUGCUGUCAGUCGAUGCCCGACCCUUCCUCAGGAAGGAAACAUGUCUACUCGAGGGUCAGGUGUCGUGCAACGGUUCUCCAACCAGAGCGCUGACCUUGGGCAUCUCGAGGGGGUCUUGAUUAGACGUUCCAACCUUGCGUCCUGCAUCCUGUCAUACUCUGACUUGUUUGGUGGGGAAGGCUGCAAAAAGAAAGACGGGACGGGCGCCUAUUCCCUAUCACGCUUCCCGUGACCUGCAGGUUAGGUGAGAACGCGGCAGGUGCAUUAAAUGCCCUGGUUCCCUUGCCCGCGUCAGGCGGCUGGCGGCAUCCUUGCGCUCGACGCCUCUCGAUUCGCUCGAGCCUGUUUCCGUAUUCGAUGGUAGCCGGUGCUCGAGCCCUGAUCGAUUCGCGCGACGCCCUUUCCGUCUUCGAGGCUGCGGUCAUCGAUGACCGUACGUGUGACUGGGUAGAGCGUCGAGUUGGAGGCCUCGACUCGCGUACAUGAUUUCUUUUUAUGCAUGUCAGUUAGGAUACCCCUUACUGAUUGUUGACGGUCCUUAAUGCUCACAUUUAACCAUCAAUUAAUCAUGGAAAAGGAUCCAAAUGCAACCAACACGAAGACUUAGGGUUUUAUCUGACAGAAUUCCACGAGUUUUGGUGUUUGUCUAUUUCUGCAGGGGGUUAUUAGGAAAUACGGAAGAAAGGCCCACACGUCGGGUUUACAUAGAGAUAUUAACGUGCCGCACAAUUAUCUACCAUCUAGAAGACUCCAGAAGCCACGGGACCGAAGCGGAGGACGAGGGGGCUCAGGCACUGAGCGCCCGCCCUACCUUACUGGGCGCCCGCCCUCCCACUCAAGGGCAAAAAGUCAGUCUCUAUGAUAAUUGACGUAAAGCUAACGCAAUAUCGGGAAUGAACUUCUAACCUGAGUCUUUGGAAGUUGCUCCCAGCUUAAGCCUCUUGGCCAUCGAGGGUUGGGCUUGUUCGAGCGUCCGCUUCAACCUGAGGGAAGAAGAACGAGCAUAAAUAAAGACCACGGCCCAAGAAAAUGCAAAAGCAUCGGAAAGCAAGAAUAACGACAUUGAAAUCUUACCCCACAGGGAGAGCGACUCGCCUGCCGGUACCUCGACCGGCGGGCCUCGAGCCGCCCCGCGUCAAGGCUCCAGGCACCUCACGAGCAGGCGCAGGUCUCGGCUCGGCGUCUCCCGAUUGGCGAGCGUCAGGACUAGUGCUCCUGCGGCUUGCUUCCCCCUUGCUAGAAGCCGCGGCGCGGCCACGAGUCUGCGGCCCCAUCGUCAGGGACUUGACCCGAUGGCCCGCCUUAGACGCGGGAGGAGGUUGGGGGUGGGGGACGUUCCGACCUGAUGCAGGCCCUGGAGGAGUGUCGGCGCGGGAACGGCGUGGGGAUGGCUCCCUCCGCUGACUUUCACGAGACCCGCUUGGCCCCCCCUUCGGGACUUCCGCCCGUGGGACGUCGACACCGGUCUGAGGCGGGCCCUCAAGGAUCCAGUUGAGACGGGACGCCAUUCCCUCGGAAUUGUCUCUAUUGUCGUCACCGUCGCCGCCAUCAUCCUCAUCGGGGGAUUCUUCUUCAGGCUUCCCCCUCUACCUAAACUUAGCUCGACGCGCCUCUAACGCUUGGCGAUCGAGAUUCUUCUUCUUUUCCUUUUUCUUUUCUAAGUCCUUUGCGGUCUUCUUCUUUUCCGCGGACUCACGCCGCUUGUCACGAUCGACCUCAUCCUCCUUUACUGGAGGCCUCGAGGAUCGAGCGUCGAUCGGUGCCUACGCGAGCAAAGGCAAGCUUAAAGAAGGAUCGAAGAAAAUCCGGAAUCGAAGCCAUAAGCAAGAAAAGAACUUACCAGAUCGAUUGAUUCCUCAUCAUGUCUCAUAGGGAAGCCGUCACGUGCUCCGGCUGGAAGUCACCACCGACGGCCGCCCUGACUCGAGCCACAACCUCAUCAUCCGCCGGAGCUUCGUUGGACAUCUGGCAAGCCUCGAGAUCCUGGGACGAAAGGCAAGGGCCCAUCUCGUCCAUCCUCAACGGCCGAGACAUCAGCGGGAGAACCCUCCGAUGAUGGACGGCCAAGAGGACAAGAGCGGCAAUCAGACCUUCCUCACGUAGCUUCUUCAAGGCACCGAGGAGGGGGUCGAGCCGCGAUUGGUGGGCGUGGACGACGCCGUACUUCCAGUGAUCCGGACGCUCUGAAAUCAGACGCCCGGUGUAGGUAGGGAGGAGGUCGUCGCCGUUCCGUAAGUAAUACCAUUAGGAGUCCCAUCCGACGUGGUUCGACAUCAACCCCACCAGGAUGUACUCGCGCGGCCUCUCCGACUUGCCGGUCUUGAGCACCAGGUUGAGGCACCCGGCCCGUACGGGCUUCCUCACCCCUGCAGCGCCACCAGGAGCAUUGAAGAGCUCACCCCAGAACAAAUGGAGCCACAAGUCCCAGUGAGGCAUCAUCCCCAGGUAGCCCUCACACACCGCGGCAAAAACCGCAGCGGCGAUAAUGGCGUUCGGGGAAAAAUGCUGGAGCUCCACCCCGUAGUGGUGGCAGAGCGCCUGCAUGAAGCGACUGGGAGGGGAGCCCAGGCCGUGGCUGUGGAAUUUGGCGAAGGAUACCACAUAGCCCAUGGGAGGCCUUGGCUCCCAGUGGUCCGCCACCGGCGCGAUCCACUCCGGCCGCGACGACGAGGAGCGAGGGCGCAGGAGUCCUUCCUUCUCCAGCUCCAGCAAACGGCGCUCCAUCAUUGACGAUGGGCGCCAGUCAUCGGCGACGAUGAGUCUCACAGGCAUUUCCGGAUGGGAGAAGGGCGACUUCGCUACAACUCGAGGGUGCGCGUGUGUGAGAUGACAAGGAAGCUGAAGCAAGAAUGGAGGCAAGAGGCGGAAGGAGCGACGACAACAUGGCCACGGGACAUUUAUAGACGGCAACCCACCAACGGACAGAUCUGAUGUAUCCGGUAACUCCUCCAAUAAAUGCGUCGCCUAACGGUCCUUAUCUCUCUCUCACAGACAGGACGCUACAAAUUCCACGCCGGCAUGGUGCCGCAACGGCUCUGCCUGAAAAGACGCGCCCAACGAGCAAAAAGGCGAAACACUACGGCCUUUUCCUUCCCCUGUAAGCCAAGGUAUAUACCCACGAAAAUCUCAAGAGGUCGCAGGCUGACCAACCGAAUGGGUUCGACAGCUGAUCUCGAGUACCAGAGUCAGGGAUGCCCAGCGAAUGGUCAAAAGUCGAGGCCUGCCUCGAGAAUUCGCUAGGGAUGUCCAAGGCAAGGUCGAGACGGUCAAGAGGGAUCCCCCCGAAGGGAGGCAUCGAGCUGCUGAACUCAAUCGAACGAGAUCAGUAACCCCGACCACAUCGACCCCACUUUAUGAGGACGCCUCCGGGCUACAGCCGACCCCCUCGAACGGGACACGGGUUCUCACUUGGAUUACCCGCUAGGAGCUCAGUCUGGGAUGGAUGACGCUUGCUCCACUGGGAGUACGUCGAGACCCCUGUGUAAAACGAACCAAUCAGAGCCUUACACAAUGGAUAUCGAGAGCGUUUCUGCAAAUUAGGCAAUAUAACCCUCGAAGGAGUCAAAAACUCCUCCAAGGGCUCGGGGGCUACCCCCGCAGGGUCGCUCGCGUGCCCCCACGGAAACUCGACCACCAAAAAGAGCCUCCACUCGAGCGCAAGCUCUCGAAUAUAGACUCGGGGGCUACUAUCGAGGAUAUCAGUAAGGGGUACCCAAACUAAUGUGCAUAUCGAGAGUAUCCGUACACAAGUCGAGGCAUCCAACUCGACGACCAUAGUCUCAAACACGGAAAGAACGUCCAGCGAAUCGACCAAGGCUCGAGCGCCGGCUACCGUCGAAUACAGAAACAGGCUCGUACGAAUCGGGAGGCCUCGAGCACAAGGACACCGCCCGCCGCCUGACGCGGGCACGGGGACGAGGGCAUUUAAUGCGCCUGCCGCAUUCUCACCUAACCCGUCAGUCACGGGAAGCGUGAUAGGAAACAAGCACCCGUCUUAUCGAUCUUUUUGCAGCCUUCCCCACCAAACGAGCCAGAACGUGGCAGGGUGCAGGGGGCGGGUCGGAACGUCCAGUCAAGACCCCCCUCGAGACGCCCCCAAGUCAGCGCUCUGGCUAGCAGGGCGUUACACGGCACCUGACCCUCGGGUAGGCGCGUUUCCUUCCUAGGGAAGGAUCAAGCAACGAAUGACAGCACCUCAACCACUUCGACGUAGCUGCUGCCACGACGUACAAGCGUGCAACAGAUAAACUAGUCUAGGACGGCACGCAGAAGCAGGAUUUAGGGGCAUGCGCAAUCAUUAUCAAGGUACCAAGACAAGACGGCUCGAGGCCACGCCGGUAUGGAGGCCUCGAGUAGGUUAGCGCACCACACCCCUAUCGACCUCUAUUCUGUCGCCUAUGCAUGUAACCUAGGCCUCCCCUUGGAACUAUAAAAGGGGAAGCCCACGAGCUUCCAUACUCCAUCUCACGCCUGUAUUCACCCCUGUACAAGCACUUAGGUGCAAGAUAAUACAAACUCUCCCCCACCGCUGGACGUAGGGCCUUCUCUUGCCUGAACCAAGAUAAAUCUUUGUGUCUUUUCUUGCAUCACCAUCGGGAAAGGGGAGCACGCACUAGUUUUACUCGUUGGUGUGACCCCCCGGGGGGAAAACACCGACAGUGUUGUUAAGGUGUUGUGUCAUGCACAUAUGUUUGGUGUGCCUGGGAACAGUACCGCAUGUUGGGAGAUUCUGUCCUGAGAGGCGAUGCCGUCCCUAGGGCGAUGAUGUGGGUAGCAACACGUCAUAUGCAUGGACGGGGUGUCUAUGUGUGUGGGGUGUAUAGCUUUAAAUUCUUGUUCAGCAUGUUCAUACUGUGGUUGGGCUGAAAUGAGUUUUCUGUAGGUACACUAACCACGUUCCCACCUAGAACACUAGUUAUGUUAUGAGAGAACGUUGUGUGCCACCGCAUAUACCGACUAGUGUUAACUGUUGUUUCUAAGUUUGUGAGAUCGUAAGUUCGUGCAUGCAUCAUGUUCAUUUCAUAUCAUUGCUUACUUCCUCCCCUUAACUUAAUAUGUCCCAAUUCCAAAUAAGAUAAGAAAGGAUAAUCCCCAAUCUUACCUAGGGUAUUCUCUUUGCAGCAGAUGGCACGCACUAGGCUCAUGGCUCGCAAGUCCAUUGGUGGGCGGGCCCCUCACCAUCAGUUGGCCGCCAGGAGCUCGCGUCAUAAGAGCAAGUUCCUGGAGGAGUUUGGGAUGCCCACCUUGCUUUGGAGGGUGCUCAGUUCGAUGGGUUAUCCCGAAGGAAGGGAACCUCACUACUAUUGGGACAAGGAGCAGCUUGGUGACGGGACCCUAGUGGGGAUCGAAGCAGUGGUCCCUACCAGCGGAGGUGACCCUGCCUGGGGCGGCUAGGUGUAUGAGUCCCGAGGUACCACGCCUUUCCACGGUGCCAGCAGAGCAGCUUUUGCAGUUCUGAGGGACCUCAUGGAGAGGUUUCCACAGGAGCUGGCCCACGCCUUCGCUGGGGUGUUUCCCCAAGGUGACCCCUACACUUCGGUGUGGGAUCAGUCCGAGGUGAAUGCUCUAGAGAGAAGUGCGGACGAGGACCAGCACAGUGACAGUGCAGCUAUGAGUGCUAUGUUUGCCUUGGUGAAGACCUAUGGGGGUCUGGAGAAUUGUUUGGGACGCUUGUCUGGGUCCCUUCUCACAGUCCAGUAUGAGAAGGGCCACCUGCAGCGUGAGUUUGACACUGAGGUUGAGAGGUUGCAGGCAGAGUUGGCCCGCAUGACCCGAGAGAGGGAUUAGGCAGUUCAGAAGAACAGUGAGUGUUGACGGUCCUUAAGUAUCAAAUUUAAUUAUCAAAUAAAUAAAGAAAAGGAUCCAAAUGAAAUCAACAUCUAGACUUAGGAUUUUAUCUGACAAAAUUCCACGAGUUUUGGUGUUUGUCUAUUUCUGCAGGGGGUUAUCAGGAAAUACGGAAGAAAGGCCCACACGUCGGGAUUACAUAGAGAUAUUAACGUGCCGCGCAAUUAUCUUACAUCUAGAAGACUCCAGAAGCCACGAGACCGAAGCGGAGACGAAACGAGGCCAGAGGCAGGGCACCCGCCCUGUUCCCCCGGGCGCCCGCCCCCUCCCUGAGUCAUAUCAGGACUUUGCUUCGUGGGAGAUCUCCACUGACCUAAAGGAUGAAUCUAAACCAUACAAUCUAUGUCGGUUUGAUCCAACGGCCCAUAUUCACUUGAAGGGACUAUAAAACCAGACCCCCUGGCCCCUAGAGGAGAGAGCCUCUCAACCCUAAUUCAUUGUUCCUCAAGGGAGAAGAAGCCCCUGAUCAAGAUUAGAGCCACCACAUCAAUUAGAUAUCUAGAUUAGCAUAGCUACAUAGGAUUAGAACUAGAAGGAGUCAAUCUUCGAUUGGUUUCUGGAUUUGUCAAGAGGAUUCUUGGUAAUUCUCUAAUUGUGCUUCUAAUUGCUUUCUAAUUAUCUUUGUUCUUCAAUAUUAUGAAUAUGAAUUUGUUCUACUUCAAUAUAUUGCUUAUGACUUUGCUCUACUUGCUUAUAUUCAAGAUUAUAUUGUUCUUAGUUUAUCAUAGUUAUGUACUUGGCUUAGUUAGAUUGGAUCUAUAUACAUGCUUAGGAUCGUAUAGCGUUUAUCCAUUGGAUCCAUGGGUAAAUGAUAGAUAUUGUGUAGGCGUGGUGCUUAUACCGUAUUUAUCUGCGAUUGUACCCAAUAUGCCAGAUCGUGGGGUAGUUCGUGAUAGUGACAGCUUCAUUGAUUCUUAUAUAGUCCCCCUCUCGUGUAUUGGGCUGGCAGAGUAAUAUUAUUACCGGGGAGUGAUUGCUAUGUUUCUGAUUUACCUUGCUAAUAUCACUAUGCAUGGGUGUAGUCUUGUCUCGCAAUGAUUGCUAAGUAUGCUUGCACUAACUAUGAUAUGCUAGACUAUAUAGUUGAGAAUAACUUAGGGAAUAUUCUUGUAGUUUGUUCUAAUACCUUCCCAGUGGUAAAAAUAUAAAUAACGAUACCUAGAAUACUUCCCUGUUAAAAUGCUACAUCGUUAUUAAUCUGUGCGCUUGCAGAUCCCAUUCAUUAUUUAUUUAGAGGAGCAAUUGCAUAUUUCAGUACCGCGUCUCUCAUGUCAUGCUGGGGAUGACAACUUGUCUUAAGUGGUAUGAGGGAUAGGUUUGGCAUUUUUGGCACCAUUACUAGAUUUAGAGAACUUAGUCUACUUUUGGUAAUGAUGUUAAGAAUACCCAACAAGCAUUUUUGGCGCCGUUGCCGGGGAAGGUUGAUUACUAAUCAGGAAUGGAAUAAAAGAUUUUGAGUUAUCAUUCGCAUCACUAAUAUGAUUGAGCUUAUCUAUUCUCUCAUACAGUUUUACCCUGAUAUUUUCUAUUUUUAUCUUAUGCAGGGGAAUGUAUGAAUAGAAGACAUCUUCCAAGAAAUUUUGUUGACAAUCCUGAAGCAUUAUUCAGAAGAACUAGAGCCAAGCUAAAGAAGAGAUCAUCAACACUUCAACAAGAAGCUUCAUCCGAUCAAGAAGAUCACCGGAACUUGUCUUCAGAGUUCGAAGCCAUGGCAAACAAAUCAAUCCGCGAGUUCUCAGCUCCCACUACGGACAACAUCCGCACUGGACCUGCUGCAGAGAUCGAUGGCAACUUUGAGCUCAAGCCUGGACUUAUCAACAUGGUGCAAUCCAACUAGUUCUGUGGGAAGGCACACGAAGAUGCUAGUGCUCAUCUACAACACUUCCUGGAAAUUUGCAACACAUUCACCAUAUCAGGAGUUUCCAAAGAUGCUAUACUACUUCGCCUCUUCCCAUUCUCAUUGUUAGGGAGAGCGAAGCAAUGGUUCUAUGCUACAAAGGAAAAGAAUACUAUGUGGGCACUCUGCUCAACAAACUUCCUGGCUAAGUUCUUUCCCAUGGGCAAGACCAAUGCUCUCCGUGGGAAGAUUACAUGUUUUCAGCAACAAAAUGAUGAAUCUGUUCCAGAAGCAUGGGAGCGCUUUCAAGACUACAUCCUAGAAUAUCCCCAUCAUGGAAUGGAGAGUUGGCUAUUGAUGCAGACGUUUUAUCAUGGGCUCGGCAACAGUGCCCGAGAGACCAUGGUUGCUGCACCUGGAGGAGCAUUCUUAUCACUUACUAUACCACAAGCCACAGCUCUUGUGGAGAAGAUGGCGUCCAAUCGAAGCUGGAAUGAAGAGAGGACCCAGACACGCAAGAGAGGUGGAGGUAUGCAUCAGCUCAAGGAGGUAGACAUGCUGUCUGCAAAGCUAGACCUGCUCAUGAAGAAGCUCGAUGAUAGAGCUGGAGAUAAGAAGGAAGUUAUGCACAUCUACGACUCUCACAUGACUUGUGAGGAGUGUGGAGAUACUGGACACUCAGGCAACCACUGCCCUGAGAUGCUUGAGGAUGUGAACUACAUCAACAACAACAACUACUACUACAACCGUCCUCAACAAAAUCAAAGUUGGAAUCAACAGAGGUCAAACUACUCAGGUAAUUAUCAAGGUAACAGUUCUUACAACAAUAAUAAUAAUUUUCCACCUCUGAGAGAGUUAGUGUCUAAUCAAGGAAAGCUAAUGGAUAACCUAUCUAAGAAAUUGGCAUCUAAUGAUAAAAUGCUAGAAAAUAUAAAUAAUAGAAUGGAUAAAUUCUCUACUGCCAUCAAGAAUCAAAUUAGCUUUAAUAAAAUGAUUGAAUCUCAGUUAAAUCAAAUAGUUGCUGUUGUUCCUGCUACUAACCCCGGUAUACCAUCACAACCGGAAGGAUUAGAAUCUGCAAAUCUUGUAGACAUGUUUGAUGUAGGUAAUUGGAGUAACCCCGUCACUGAAUUCUCUACUGACCUUCUGCCGGUCAAAAGAGGCGAUCCAGGACGCCCCGUCAUCCCGAUCUCCAUCGGCAUGGUGGACGUCCCAGAAGCACUCUGUGACUUUGGCUCCAGUGUCAACAUUAUACCCAGCGUACUCUAUGAAAAAUUCUUUACAUAUCCUUUAUUAGAAACAAACAUGUGUUUGAAGUUUGCAGAUCAGACGAUAACUUUUCCAAAGGGAAUAUUGAAGAACCUUUGCAUCCAAGUUGGUACCUUGUAUGCCCCAGCAGAUUUCGUAGUGGUAGAGACCGGAAAUGAUGAGAGGGCACCCAUCAUCUUAGGGAGGCCAUUCUUGAACACCACGAGAGCUAUCAUCUACGCCAGUGCUGCCAAGAUCAGUUUCUACGUCAAAGGGAGGAAGCAGACAUUUUUCUUCAAGAACAAGACUACACAAAUUCCAGAUCAAUCCAGACGUGAAUCAAGGAAGAGGACCAACAGGAAGAACAGAAACAAGCAAGUUUGGACCGAGUCAGCUAAGAUGGUCACUGCAGUUCAUGGAGGUCAAGAUCAACAACUUUAGUCACCAUUUUUGACCAAGAAGGACGACCCAGGAUACAACUUCUACAAGACGACUUGUGACACCGGAUCGGGCGUCAACAUAAUGGCCGCAGUCAGCUAUCAGCUCUUGUUCGGAACCAUGCCACUAAGACCAACAUACAUUCAGCUCCAGAUGGCAGAUCAGACAUUUCGAGAAGUUAAAGGAACAGUAACUGAUGUCCCUGUCAAGAUAGACGAUCAUUUUGUCUACACAGACUUUCAAGUUAUUGACAUGGGAGAAGACGAAUAUGAUCCACCCAUCAUCCUUGGAAGACCGUUCCUCAGCACCGUUAAAGCAAUUAUCUACAUUGGAACCGAAGAAGUCCAUAUGCACUUCCCCUCAGAGAAUGUACGCCGUUAUUUUACUGACCCUAACUAUAUCGUUGAAGAAUCUAAGCAGGAAAGAAAACGACGCAACCGCAACCAGAGGAGGCAGAUCAUCAAGGACGGAUGGGCAGACUAUGAAGGAGAAGUGAUAAGGUCAAAAGACGUAGAGUUUAAACAGAAUUAUCCAGAGGAGACUGAAGCACCGAGUCAGGUAUGGAAAGAGAAGAUAACUAUACAUGGAGAGGAGGCACCGCCGGAAGUACCGACUCCGCCACCCAACGAAUCCCAUGACAAUUGAGAAAGAGGAGAGUCCCAUUCGGAGGACUUAAAAACACAGAACGCCUUGCCAAGAGGUAAACUUGGUAGUUAUCCUUUCCCUUUCAAUUAUGUCAAUUAGUUUACUUUGUUAAUCAUAUUCAUACAAGCCUAAAAAGAAAAUAAAAAUGUGAAAAAACAGCAAGCCCCAUGUGAGUAUACGAGUGGCAUGAAACCCAUAUGUACAUUCACUGUGGUGGCAUAAAAAUAAAAUAAAUAUUUUUCUGCUUUAUAAAAUAAAAAUAUAAAAACAGGGAGUAAUAAUCAUUAAGGAGACUCAACAUGAUAAAGGCUAGAUAUUUAUGCUAACACUUAAUCAGUUCCACAAGCUUUGUUGUCUAUUUGAGCUCCAUAGAAUUUAAGAAUCAAGAAGACUAGCAGACGGAGGACAUUCUAAUCGCUGUCAGAAUGCUGCUGACUUUCGAAUACACCUCUACCACCUGUUAGCUACAUCAAGAGAAAUUACGUCAAAAUUCAGCUUGGGGGAGAGCACCCCAAUUUAUCCCGAUAAGUAUUUCUAUCUAUCUAUCUUUAUACUUACACUAUAUUAAAAUAUAACUAUGAAAAACCAAAUAAAGAUUUUGUGCUUAUAUAUAUAUCUUUUGCUUAGUGUGUUUAAUAAAUAAAUAAAGUGGCUAUGCUAAUCUGUAUCUUAAUAAUAAAACUCAAGCAUGGAUAUGAUGAAUAGUUGCUCUGCCUAAUUUGCACAUUUGAAGUUCUCUCUCAAGUUUAGACAUAACUGUUAUAAUUUAAGGCUUGCUCUAGACCUAAACUUGUGGGAUGAAAACUUGAUCUAAAGUAUAAGUUGUUAACGGAUACGAUAUGGGAAGGUUGAGCUGCUGUUUAUCUGUUCCUAGAGAUGCUAGAAUUCUGGAGAAUUUUAUCUUUGAAAAUCUUUAAAAUGUUGCAUGAUGAGUUCCUGUAUGAUGGGAGUUUAAAUUCCUACCACAGCCAUAUAUACAUGCUUGCUAGACUUUGAGCCACACAUUUUUACGAUUUACUGCUUAUGAGCAUUGAGUGUGGUCAAGCUGUGUAGACCCUUAAGAGCUUGUCAUGUGGUUAAAUCAAGAUUCACUUGCACGUUCACUCACAUAUGCUACUUCUACUCCAAAAGUACCAUCCACAUAUAUCCAUCCAUUUCCAUCUCCAGAAUCACCUAAAAAUAUUCUACUCCUAAUCUGGGAGAGAAUAGCCAAAAAUAUUUCUAUUUUUCCCUUGUGAAAUAAAUGCUCAAGUUAUCUUGUUACUACCACUUGCUAUAUUAUCUCAAGAGAUGAGUGCUCUAAAAAAAAGAAAAAAGAUACGAGGAAAUAAAAAAGGGCAAGUGCCAGGAACCUCGAAAGAAAAGAAAAAGUGAGACGAGAGGUAAAAAUGGACAAGUGUCCGACAGUAGAAUUAGGGGUACAAGAUACCCACCUGAGAGAAAAAAAUAAUAAAGAGCAUCUCAUUCUCCUCAUAAAGUUUCAAAAAGCAGAGAAGGUAUGUAUCCCCUCAAAGAACAAAAGUAGAAUUAGACUUCCACCUUUGUUAUCACCAUCAUCACCAUUCAUUCGCCACACAUCCACAUCUUGAUUUGGCUUAUUGAUUUGUUUCUUUGGAUCCAUGGUUUGACUAUACAACACAUGUCUUGUAAGUAUGUAUAUUUUAUCUCCCACCUAUGAGCUCUAGAUAUUAAAGCCUUAUUAGAGUAGGGUGAGAGAGAAGGCAAUGUCACUAUGCUUUAUACCACAAAUACCACAUAUAUUGAGAGAAGGCAUAUACCAUCACUGCCUUGGUAAGGAUCCAAAAAUACCACAAAAGAGAUAUCUGAGAGAAUUAUACAAGGAAUCUCUGAGUUUUAUUUGAAAAUCUACAAAAACACCAGAGCUAUAGCUGAUCAAGAAUAAGAGACAUGGCACUUGACUAGACUGUUCUAUCUUUUAACCACUCAAGACAGAAGUGACGGUUACAAGUACCAUGGUGAAAGGUAAAGUAAGUAAGUUUUAGUUCUUGACAGUUUACUCUAACUCACAGAUGAGAUCUUAUUUAAAAAGCAUGUGUACUGUCAAUUUUUAAAGAUAUUGCAACAACUUAUGAUCCAUAGCUGAGUCUAUCCUUGCUUAGGGACGAGCAAGAGGUAAGCUUGGGAGAGUUUGUUGACGCUCCUUAAGUAUCAAAUUUAAUUAUCAAAUAAAUAAAGAAAAGGAUCCAAAUGAAAUCAACAUCUAGACUUAGGGUUUUAUCUCACAGAAUUCCACGAGUUUUGGUGUUUGUCUAUUUCUGUAGGGGGUUAUCAGGAAAUACGGAAGAAAGGCCCACACGUCGGGAUUACAUAGAGAUAUUAACGUGCCGCGCAAUUAUCUUACAUCUAGAAGACUCCAGAAGCCACGAGACCGAAGCGGAGAUGAAAGGGGCCAGAGGCAGGGCGCCCACCCUGUUCCCCUGGGCGCCCGCCCCCUCCCUGAGUCCAAUCAGGACUCUGCUUCGUGGGAGAUCUCCACCGACCUAAAGGAUGAAUCUAAACCAUACAAUGUAUGUCGGUUUGGUCCAACGGCCCAUAUUCACUUGAAGGGACUAUAAAACCAGACCCCUGGCCCCUGGAGGAGAGAGCCUCUCAACCCUAAUUCAUUGUUCCUCAAGGGAGAAGAAGCCCCUGAUCAAGAUUAGAGCCACCACAUCAAUUAGAUAUCUAGAUUAGCAUAGCUACAUAGGAUUAGAACUAGAAGGAGUCAAUCUUCG